rnacentral:rRNA from 1 species
UACGAAGGGGGCUAGCGUUGUUCGGAAUUACUGGGCGUAAAGCGCACGUAGGCGGGCGAUUAAGUCAGGGGUGAAAUCCCGGAGCUCAACUCCGGAACUGCCUUUGAUACUGGUCGUCUAGAGGUCGGAAGAGGUGAGUGGAAUUCCCAGUGUAGAGGUGAAAUUCGUAGAUAUCGGGAAGAACACCGGUGGCGAAGGCGGCUCACUGGUCCGAUACUGACGCUGAGGUGCGAAAGCGUGGGGAGCAAACAGG